UUGAACGCUGGCGGCAGGCCUAACACAUGCAAGUCGAGCGGCAGCGCGGGGCAACCUGGCGGCGAGCGGCGGACGGGUGAGUAACGCGUAGGAAUCUACCCAGUAGCGGGGGAUAGCCCGGGGAAACUCGGAUUAAUACCGCAUACGCCCUAAGGGGGACAGCAGGGGAUCUUCGGACCUUGCACUAUUGGCAGAGCCGGCGUUGGAUUAGCUAGUUGGUAGGGUAAAGGCCUACCAAGGCAACGAUCCAUAACUGGUCUGAGAGGAUGAUCAGUCACACCGGAACUGAGACACGGUCCGGACUCCUACGGGAGGCAGCAGUGGGGAAUAUUGGACAAUGGGGGCAACCCUGAUCCAGCCAUGCCGCGUGUGUGAAGAAGGCCUUCGGGUUGUAAAGCACUUUAAGUGGGGAGAAAGGUUCGGCAGUUAAUACCUGCCGGAAGUGAUGUUACCCACAGAAUAAGCACCGGCUAACUCUGUGCCAGCAGCCGCGGUAA
rnacentral:rRNA from 1 species